CAUAUUUAUAGUUAUUUCCCCUGUUCCCUCAUUAGGGGGUAGGUGUUUGAAUUAUACACCAUAAACGCUCCAAUCUAUAGGCUGGUGGUUUAUCUUCCCUCAACCUUUUUUUCUUGCACAUCUACAUAAACCAAUAACUGUGAUGUUAUGGCUGAUAUCCCUUUGCUGAGCAGUUCCAAUGAUCCCAUAAAUUGCUGCUGCCGCACACCGCUUUAUUGGAUAAGAGCAGACCUUGGCCUCCCAGAGUAACCUCUACCUCACAUACCUGCCUCUUGAUAUCUCCUAAAGGGCAGCAUUCUCU